rnacentral:lncRNA from 9 species
AACAUAAUUCUCCAACGCUGAAGGUGUGUGUUUUUUUUUCAGUUGACACAGUCAUAUGGUCCAUUGCCUGCUUUCUACUUGUCUGCUUGUCUACUCCCAGAAUGACUGCCUGAAUAAGAAAUUCCAUGGGAAAUCACGAGAAAGAGCUAGAGUCAUAUAUACAAAAUACCAUUUGGCACCAUAAGGAAUGGGUUUGGAACAACUGGAUAUACUUCCACCCCAGGAAUUUCCAGGACAUCUGCUUUUAGCAAUGUCAAACUUUUCUGAGUACCGAGGAUACUCCAAACCCCAUCCACUCAGGAAAAGUUUCAAUUGGACAACUCAAGCACCUUGGUGUGGCUAUUACACUGUCAACAAACAUGACCCGCCUGGCAGGCAACUUGAGAAGUGCCAAACUCCUUAGGAGUUGUUGGAGAUCUAAAGUGUGCCUUCGUGCUGAUGAGGGGCAUCCUGAUGGGACCUGAUGGGACUUCAGGGCUCUUUUCAAAGCACGACAUACAGAGCCAGGACGAGGCACUGAAGUUGGGGAUAAACCUGGCAGACACAGCCAUUGCCUUCCCACUUCAACUUCCCAGGGACUUCUUUCAGUUCGUCUCCAUACGGUGUGUGCUUCUGAG